rnacentral:misc_RNA from 1 species
AAGUCGUAACAAGGUAACCGUAGGUGAACCUGCGGUUGGAUCAUUAAAAAAUGGUAUAGUUUGCAGUUUGGUCAGUUACAGUGCGCUCAGGAUGCUUUCAAACAGCUUGACGUACUGUCGAGACCAGUUCUCCUAGACUGCAAAUUUUUCCUCCAACCCUUUAUUGUAUUUUGGGCAAAACUCUGUUUUGCCCAGUGGAUUAUUAACACCUCUUUAAUUUUGCCUGAAAUUAUUUUAUAAAUAAUAACAACUUUUGACAACGGAUCUCUUGGCUCUC